rnacentral:lncRNA from 10 species
CCUUUCCCUUUCGGAUUCCCGACGCUGUGGUUGCUGUAAGGGGUCCUCCCUGCGCCACACGGCCGUCGCCAUGGUGAAGCUGAGCAAAGAGGCCAAGCAGAGACUACAGCAGCUCUUCAAGGGGAGCCAGUUUGCCAUUCGCUGGGGCUUUAUCCCUCUUGUGAUUUACCUGGCCUACUUUGGGGAUAAAGGAUUAUUUGGUCUUCUGGAUUUGGAGGCAAUCAGCGGACAGCAUGGAAGAUGUGUGCUCUGGCUCGGAUAAGAGAUGGGACAUCAUUCAGUCACUAGUUGGAUGGCACAAGGCUCUUCACAGACGCAUCUGUAGCAGAGUGGAACUUGUACUAACUUAUGAUAGAAUGUAUCAGAAUAAAUGUUUUUAACAGUGUUAUGCUUGAGUCUUUUUUGAAUUGAACAUGCUAGGAUUAUCAGGUAAAAAUUAAGCCUUUUGGUACUUUCUCAAAACAGGGAAUUUAUGUGUGUACCUAGGUGCUAUUUAAGCCUGUAAAUCCCAGCACUUUGGGAGGCCAGGGCGGGUGGAUCACGAUAUAAAAAAAUUUUUCCAAGUUAUUCCUGCCCAUUGACCUAACAUAUGGAUUACAGUUUCCCUUUGCAGUGAAUUAAUAACUCCUUCUAGGAUAUUCCGAGGUAGUAAGAAUACAGAUAGUUCUGUUUGUGACAAACCAAGCUGUUACUUCCUCCUCUGCAUUAAAGUUCUGACUGCAAGAAAUAAA